rnacentral:rRNA from 1 species
GACGAACGCUGGCGGCGUGCCUAAUACAUGCAAGUAGAACGCUGAAGGAGGAGCUUGCUUCUCUGGAUGAGUUGCGAACGGGUGAGUAACGCGUAGGUAACCUGCCUGGUAGCGGGGGAUAACUAUUGGAAACGAUAGCUAAUACCGCAUAAUAGUAGAUGUUGCAUGACAUUUGCUUAAAAGGUGCAAUUGUAUCACUACCAGAUGGACCUGCGUUGUAUUAGCUAGUUGGUGAGGUAACGGCUCACCAAGGCAACGAUACAUAGCCGACCUGAGAGGGUGAUCGGCCACACUGGGACUGAGACACGGCCCAGACUCCUACGGGAGGCAGCAGUAGGGAAUCUUCGGCAAUGGACGGAAGUCUGACCGAGCAACGCCGCGUGAGUGAAGAAGGUUUUCGGAUCGUAAAGCUCUGUUGUAAGAGAAGAACGAGUGUGAGAGUGGAAAGUUCACACUGUGACGGUAUCUUACCAGAAAGGGACGGCUAACUACGUG